rnacentral:rRNA from 1 species
AGAUGCGAUCAUACCAGCACUAAAGCACCGGAUGCCAUCAGAACUCCGAAGUUAAGCGUGCUUGGGCGAGAGUAGUACUAGGAUGGGUGACCUCCUGGGAAGUCCUCGUGUUGCAUUCC